UCUCUCUCUUGAUCCACACAAUUUUUUUAAAGGAUUGUAUCGUUUUAUACUGAAAGGCAUAGAGACAGUACAAAAUGAAAAGAUGCCUUUGACCCCAAACUUCUGCAUAUGGGAAGCAUGCUAAGAACAUGGCUAUUUUUUAUGAAAAAAAAAUAAUUUAGAGGGUAGAACCAAUAGCCCAGAGUGGAGAGCCAAGAGUCACAGUGAAUCAUUCUUAAACAGUACAACUGAGCCCUAAUCAAGUACCAGUACCUUUUGCCCAGCUUGAUUUCAAGCUUUUAAUGGACCAAUGACUUCUGUGUCUCUCCUUUCCUCCUUUUUUUUGGGAGUGUCUAUAGCAGUUAUCCUGUACUUGCUCCACCAUUGUGCAUUUGGUGUUUGUUAAGGCAGAUAAUUUUUCUUUUUUAGUUUAUAGCUCUUGAGAUUACAAGGAACUGUACGUAAGGGGCUGUAUUUGAGGAACUGUACCCAAGAAGUUCAUCCAUACCUGGACCUCAAGCCUCAGCCUGAUGUUGUAGGUCUUGAGGGAGUGCAUGAGUGUAUUUUGCUGCUGUGGCUAGAGGGUGGACUGUGGUAUUUUGCAUUUUCCAAAACUGACCUCAGCAAUAUUUGUGGUCCCACAUGCUCUUCUAAACUUUGUCACUUCCCAACAAGAGUUAGAGUUUAUUUCCCCUCCCCCUGAACCUGGGCUGUACUUUGCACUGUUGAAUAGAAUGUGGUGGGAGUGAAACUAUGGGACUUCCAAGGUGAGGUCAUAAAAGAUAGUACUGCUUCUGCCUAGCUCACUCAAGAACCCAGCCCCCAUAGUGUGAGGAGGCCUAGGACAGUUACAGAAGCCAUGUGUAGGUGUUCUGGCUCCAGCAAAAGUCUUAUCUGACAACAUCAACUACAUGUUAGUGGGUAUAACCUCAUCCUGGAGCAGGGCACCCUAUCGUCAGAUGGUAUCAUCUUUAAGGGGUUGUCUCAGCCAUGCCUUUAGAAUUACCUUUCAUUGCUUGUCAUGCUGGAAGCUUCUGAAUGUUGCAUUUUGUGAUAGAAACAGUGGGUACCAUGGUCAUGUGCUCACAUCUCCUUUGCGGUAAAGAAAAGGAUCACUCAUUAACAUCCACCAGAUAACAUUCUCCAUGAAAGCACCAAAUAAGGUUUGUCUUGGUCCAUUUUAUGCUGCUAUAACAGAACACCACAGACUGAGAAAUUUAUAAGGAAUAGAAGUUUAUUUGCCUCAUGUUUCUGGAGGCUGGGAAUUCCAAGAUCAAGGGGCUGCAUAGAUUGAGGUCCUUUUUGCUGACUCAUAACGUGGAAAGAGAGUGCACUGCAUAGAAGAAAGGAGGCCAAACUCAUUCUUUUAUCAUGAGCCUACUCCUGAAAUAACUCACUCUCAAGAUAAUGGCAUUAAUCCAUUCAUGAAGGCAGAAUACUCAUGAUGUAAUCACCUCUUAAAAGGUCCUAUUUCCUAACACUGUUGCAUUAGGGAUUAAGCUGUCAACACAUGAAUAUUGGGGGACACAUUCAAACCAUAGCAAGAGUUCUUUGUCUUUGUGACUCGGUGUGGUUCAGCAAAUUGCGAUUGGUCUGCUAUAGCGGACUUUCCCCUCACCUCCCAAAUGUUUAUUAUGAAAAAUUUCAUUUUAAAGAAAGGUGGAAGGAAUUGUUGAAAGAAUAUGUCAUCUAGUUUCUACUGUUGUUAACAUUGUGUCAUAUUUGCCUUUUCAUCCAUCCAACCACCCAUCCAUCUAGCUACCUUAUAAUUACUAUUAUUACUUAUUAUUACUAUUAUUUUUAAAGACACCUCUAUUAAAGCAACCAUCUUAUUUUUUGAUUUUAUUUAUUUUCAAAGUUAGUUGCAGACAUUAGUAUACUUUACUCCUAGACAUUUUAGCGUGAACAUAAUUAACUGGAGUAUAAUACUUGUUUUCAAUUUCUUUUUAUUUUUGAGGUAAAAUUUACAUACAGUGAAAUCCAAAUCUUAAGUGUACCACUAGAUAAAUUUUGAUAAAUGCAUUAUGCCUGGUCUUCACACACCCUUUUCAAUAUAUAGAAAAUUUCCAGAUAAUUUAUUUUGUUGUUUUUUUCACACACUAAGUUCUAGACUUUUCCAGGUCCGAGGGAACUAUUAGGGGGGAAAGUACUUGUUAUAGUAAAAAAGAUUUUAGGUGUGUUUGUUUUUAAGGUGCAGAAACACAUCGCAGAUUAAGGUCUGCAUCUCUGCUUUUUGUUAUUGUUCCAGUUUGAUCUCAGUGACAUUACAAGCAAGCAGAAACACUCAGACAUGAAAUGGCCAGUGCCUGUGAGUUAAGAGCAGGAUCUAGGUCUAUUUUUUUGAUAUGUAUCUCAACUACCUGGAAUACUUUAUACUUUUGGCACUCAAUAAAUAUUUGUUGCUGCCAGACGAUCUGCCACAAAAAUUUACUGGGUCUAUUUUAUGGCUAUUGUUUGUUCACCUUGAAAAUAAUCAUGGGAUCAUAGAAGUCAAAGUCAUGGAGAGCAGCACAGAGGUUUCUCAGCUGUUGAUAAGUUCUUUACAGUAAAGCAGGGUUAAAUGUAGAAGGUAUGAUACUGAGAGCUUCUCAAAGGUACAGAGGUGAAUAGAGGAAAAAGAGCAGAUAAAUUCAGACAGAAUGUCGUUAAGGUCCUAGCAGAAAAAAGACCUGAAUUCGGAGUUCUCUUAUGCUUUCUACUGGAGUUCCAACUCUGUGCUUGACCUUUCCAGGGCCUGCAGGUGCAUGAAGAUGGGUGGUUACUAUUCCUAGAAAAUGUUUAUGUAGAAAAAUACUGAUACAUGCUGAUAUGGUUUGACUGUGUCCCCACCCAAAUCUCAUCUUGAAUGGAACAUAUUGCAAAGUGGUAGCAUGAUAUUUUACUAAACUAAGUUACUGUCAAGACAUUCAGAGAUAUUUUUAAAUGGUACACCAAAUUUCAACACCCUAAAUGCUCACUCAAGCUGAUUACAAAUGAUUGCUUGCCAUUCUUUGUGUAUGAGUGU
rnacentral:lncRNA from 10 species